rnacentral:rRNA from 1 species
CUACGGGAGGCUGCAGUGGGGAAUAUUGGACAAUGGGGGAAACCCUGAUCCAGCAAUGCCGCGUGUGUGAAGAAGGCCUGCGGGUUGUAAAGCACUUUCGGUUGGGAGGACUGCUUCUAGCACUAAUAUUGUUGGAAGUUGACGUUACCUUCAGAAGAAGCACCGGCUAACUCCGUGCCAGCAGCCGCGGUAAUACGGAGGGUGCAUGCGUUAAUCGGAAUUACUGGGCGUAAAGCGCGCGUAGGCGGCUAGAUCAGUCGGGUGUGAAAGCCCCGGGCUUAACCUGGGAACUGCAUCCGAUACUGUCUAGCUUGAGUACAGGAGAGGGGAGUGGAAUUCCACAUGUAGCGGUGAAAUGCGUAGAUAUGUGGAGGAACACCAAUGGCGAAGGCAGCUCUCUGGCCUGAUACUGACGCUGAGGUGCGAAAGCGUGGGGGGCAAACAGGAUUAGAUACCCCAGUAGUC